AAUGCAGAGGUGGGGGACAGAGUGGGUGGGGAGGGGAGCCGCCAUACAGUGGCCAGGACCAGCUUUGCCCAAGUGGUGGCAACCGCAUGACCACAGGAACGAUGGCGUGAGCCCCGUGGCAACCUGGAGGAAGGGCCAAGCCACUGGUGAAUAUGCUGCAAAAAAUAUGCUGGAACUUCUAUGAAUACCACAGGGUGUGAGAAGAAAACAUUAGAACUUCUAUUUUGUACCUGUGUUACUCCACAACAAGAAAGCAAUCAGCUUGAUCAAUGCCUACUGUAAAGACGGCACCGCCCUCCGGAGGUCCUUUCUCAGCCCUGGUGUUCGGACAGCCACAUCCCCUCGCAGCAGGGGGAGGCCUGAAGCAUAGAGGGGCCCAUGCAGGUCUAUUCUGUUUCAGCGAAUUGCCUGGGAAAUAAUCCAGGAUCCAUUUCGUGUGGUCAUCUUGUCUCCCUGGUCCCCUCCAGCCUUUCCUCAUCUUUUGUGACCUGGUCACUCUGGAAGGGCGCUGGCCAGUUAGUCCACAGGAUGGGCCUCCCCUGGGGCUUUUCUGAUGCUUCCUUAUGAUGGCACUGGCAUCCUGA
rnacentral:lncRNA from 1 species